UCGAGCGAACGGACGAGAAGCUUGCUUCUCUGAUGUUAGCGGCGGACGGGUGAGUAACACGUGGAUAACCUACCUAUAAGACUGGGAUAACUUCGGGAAACCGGAGCUAAUACCGGAUAAUAUUUUGAACCGCAUGGUUCAAAAGUAAAAGACGGUCUUGCUGUCACUUAUAGAUGGAUCCGCGCUGCAUUAGCUAGUUGGUAAGGUAACGGCUUACCAAGGCAACGAUGCAUAGCCGACCUGAGAGGGUGAUCGGCCACACUGGAACUGAGACACGGUCCAGACUCCUACGGGAGGCAGCAGUAGGGAAUCUUCCGCAAUGGGCGAAAGCCUGACGGAGCAACGCCGCGUGAGUGAUGAAGGUCUUCGGAUCGUAAAACUCUGUUAUUAGGGAAGAACAUAUGUGUAAGUAACUGUGCACAUCUUGACGGUACCUAAUCAGAAAGCCACGGCUAACUACGUGCCAGCAGCCGCGGUAAUACGUAGGUGGCAAGCGUUAUCCGGAAUUAUUGGGCGUAAAGCGCGCGUAGGCGGUUUUUUAAGUCUGAUGUGAAAGCCCACGGCUCAACCGUGGAGGGUCAUUGGAAACUGGAAGACUUGAGUGCAGAAGAGGAAAGUGGAAUUCCAUGUGUAGCGGUGAAAUGCGCAGAGAUAUGGAGGAACACCAGUGGCGAAGGCGACUUUCUGGUCUGUAACUGACGCUGAUGUGCGAAAGCGUGGGGAUCAAACAGGAUUAGA
rnacentral:rRNA from 1 species